ACGGCCGUAUAGAUCUAGCGUCCAAUCGGAUGAGCCGCGAGAUUCCUUAUUUGAAAUCUGUGUUCUCUAUGCACGAGCUUUGUAGCGUCACAAACUAAAUUUGCAGCCGAGAUAUGCCAAAAUCAACUCUACUCCAAGCACCCAAAAGCAGUCUGUCAAGAAAGCCCAGAAAACGAAGUUUGAUCGUAUUGUUCAAUCACAGGCGGACGGUAUUAAUUACUUGACCACAAUCGCCUCAAUUAUUUUGUCGAUUAGGUCUACCGCUGGCUCGAAGCCCAUGAGAAGUACUUCCCCCAAACACAAACUUUACCUCAUUUGAUUACACAUUUUGCAGGACGGACGUUCGGACCUAGCGAAAUUGU